rnacentral:rRNA from 1 species
UCGAACGGUAACAGGAAGAAGCUUGCUUCUUUGCUGACGAGUGGCGGACGGGUGAGUAAUGUCUGGGAAACUGCCUGAUGGAGGGGGAUAACUACUGGAAACGGUAGCUAAUACCGCAUAACGUCGCAAGACCAAAAAGGGGGACCUUCGGGCCUCUUGCCAUCGGAUGUGCCCAGAUGGGAUUAGCUAGUAGGUGGGGUAACGGCUCACCUAGGCGACGAUCCCUAGCUGGUCUGAGAGGAUGACCAGCCACACUGGAACUGAGACACGGUCCAGACUCCUACGGGAGGCAGCAGUGGGGAAUAUUGCACAAUGGGCGCAAGCCUGAUGCAGCCAUGCCGCGUGUAUGAAGAAGGCCUUCGGGUUGUAAAGUACUUUCAGCGGGGAGGAAGGGAGUAAAGUUAAUACCUUUGCUCAUUGACGUUACCCGCAGAAGAAGCACCGGCUAACUCCGUGCCAGCAGCCGCGGUAAUACGGAGGGUGCAAGCGUUAAUCGGAAUUACUGGGCGUAAAGCGCACGCAGGCGGUUUGUUAAGUCAGAUGUGAAAUCCCCGGGCUCAACCUGGGAACUGCAUCUGAUACUGGCAAGCUUGAGUCUCGUAGAGGGGGGUAGAAUUCCAGGUGUAGCGGUGAAAUGCGUAGAGAUCUGGAGGAAUACCGGUGGCGAA